CUUCCAACAACGGAUCUCUAGGCUCUUGCAUCGAUGAAGAACGCAGUGAAAUGCGAUACGUAAUGUGAAUUGCAGAAUUUUGUGAAUCAUCGAAUCUUUGAACGCACAUUGCACCCUAUGGUAUUCCGUAGGGUAUGCCUGUCUGAGUGUCA
rnacentral:rRNA from 1 species